CUGCAGCUAGUUAAGUCAACCAGGUUCCUUUACCUGGAGGUCCCAGGGUACAAUGGCUACAAACGGCAGUACUCUGGUAGAGUAUGCAUGUUUCUUUAUGGGUGGUCUUAAGGGACUUGGGAGUGAGCA